AUGCGCUUCAUAACCUGUGAUGGGCUCCUCAUCUUGUGGUGGGGUUCAGAUUUCUACAUCUGCAACCCGGCCACCCGCAAGUGCGCCCCGCUGCCGCAUCCUCCACGAGAACAGUUCAUCAGCCCCAUCACCGGAGUCGACGUGCUCGGCUUGUACCGGCACCAGCCAUCUGAAGAAUACCGGGUGCUCUGGGUGUCCUACGCCUCGCUCAUGGGGACAUCAUUUCCAUUCACCGCUUGUCAGGUUGAGCAGCCUCAUUACUUUGUCUUCACCGUGGGAUCGGACCAGCCAAGACGCAUCCAAUGGCCGACAGUUUCAGAAGAUUGGUGUCCUGCUGCCCGGUCCAACCAUCCACCCAUCCACCAUCGUGGUAGCCUCCACAGGGCAAUGGGUUGCAGCAUAACGGUAUUCGACACCAUAGCCGAGACAUUCCGGCAGAUGAGCCGCCCGGCACAAUUGGGCAGUUUCGUGUUAUUAUUGGAUACGGGCGUCAACCUUCCUUUGUAUGUCAGCACCGACCAUGACCGCGUCACUUUGGAUGUUUGGGUCUUGCAUGACUAUGAUGCAGAGACCUGGGGGUUUCGAUACCGGAUUAACUUGUUAGCGAUGGAGGCAUCUCCACCGCUUAAGUUGUGGAAAUCUAUCCCUAGGCUGGCUGUGAUCAAUGAGCGUGAGCUGUUGAUGGCGCAGCGUCCUCGUCGUCUGUUGCAUUGUGACAUUGAUGGUGUGUUUUUAGGAAAUGUAGAAAGUGAAGAGCAUGAGAACCGCUUGACACUUUCUUGGCAUCGCUUCCAAGAGAGCAUGAUUUCAGUCUCACUGUUUGAGGCGCAAGAAGAAGAAGAUGCUGUGAGCAACGAGCGUCGUCCAUUCAUCAUGGUGCUAUAA
rnacentral:rRNA from 1 species